GACGAACGCUGGCGGCGUGCUUAACACAUGCAAGUCGAACGGAAAGGCCCUGCUUUUGUGGGGUGCUCGAGUGGCGAACGGGUGAGUAACACGUGAGUAACCUGCCCUUGACUUUGGGGUAACUUCAGGAAACUGGGGCUAAUACCGGAUAGGAGCUCCUGCUGCAUGGUGGGGGAUGGAAAGUUUCGGCGGUUGGGGAUGGACUCGCGGCUUAUCAGCUUGUUGGUGGGGUAGUGGCUUACCAAGGCUUUGACGGGUAGCCGGCCUGAGAGGGUGACCGGCCACAUUGGGACUGAGAUACGGCCCAGACUCCUACGGGAGGCAGCAGUGGGGAAUAUUGCACAAUGGGCGGAAGCCUGAUGCAGCAACGCCGCGUGCGGGAUGACGGCCUUCGGGUUGUAAACCGCUUUCGCCUGUGACGAAGCGUGAUUGACGGUAAUGGGUAAAGAAGCACCGGCUAACUACGUG
rnacentral:rRNA from 1 species